AUUGAACGCUGGCGGCAGGUCUAACACAUGCAAGUCGCACGAGUGGCGGACGGGUGAGUCAUGUCUGGGAAACUCCCUGAUGGAGGGGGAUAACUACCGGAAACGGUAGCUAAUCACGCAUACCACCAAUUCUCCCCAGAUGGCAUUAGCGUGUUGGUGGGGUAACGGCGCACCACGGCGACGAUCCCUAGCUGGUCUGAGAGGAUGACCAGCCACACUAGAACUGAGACACGUUCCAGACUCCUACGGGAGACUGCAGUGGGGAAUAUUGCACAAUGGGCGCAAGCCUGAUGCAGCCAUGCCGCGGGUAGGAAGAAGUCCUUCGGUUUGUAAAGUACGUUCAGCGGUGAGGCGUUACCCGCAGAAGAAGCACCGGCUAACUCCGGGACAGCAGCCGCGGUAAUUC
rnacentral:rRNA from 1 species